GCCCGCGUAGCUCAGUUGGUAGAGCAGGUGAUUCUUAAUCACCGGGCCCUAGGUUCGAGUCCUAGCGCGGGCACCA
rnacentral:tRNA from 1 species